rnacentral:ribozyme from 1 species
CAUGUGCGAAGGUUCUGGCCUUUACGUGGUGCACCGGACGAGUACGGCUAAGUGAAGUUGAUCACAGCGGGAAGCGAAAGAACC